rnacentral:rRNA from 1 species
GGAGGGUGCAAGCGUUAAUCGGAAUUACUGGGCGUAAAGCGUGCGUAGGCGGUUUGUUAAGUCGGAUGUGAAAGCCCUGGGCUCAACCUGGGACGUGCAUUCGAAACUGGCAGACUAGAGUCUGGAAGAGGUUGGCGGAAUUCCCGGUGUAGCGGUGAAAUGCGUAGAUAUCGGGAGGAACAUCAGUGGCGAAGGCGGCUGACUGGUUCAAGACUGACGCUGAGGCACGAAAGCGUGGGGAGCAAACAGGGAUUAGAUACCCUGGUAGUCCACGCCCUAAACGAUGGGAACUAGACGUUGGCUUCAUUCAUGAGGCUAGUGUCGCAGCUAACGCAUUAAGUUCCCCCGCCUGGGAGUACGGCCGCAAGGUUG